rnacentral:rRNA from 1 species
UACGAAGGGGGCUAGCGUUGUUCGGAAUUACUGGGCGUAAGGCGUAUGCAGGCGGAUCGUUAAGUCGGGGGUGAAAUCCCGAGGCUCAACCUCGGAACUGCCUUCGAUACUGGCGAUCUUGAGUCCGGGAGAGGUGAGUGGAACUCCGAGUGUAGAGGUGAAAUUCGUAGAUAUUCGGAAGAACACCAGUGGCGAAGGCGGCUCACUGGCCCGGUACUGACGCUGAGAUACGAAAGCGUGGGGAGCAAACAGG